ensembl:lncRNA
CCCCCUUAAGGGUCGACUCCCAGGCGACCCACGACAAACAAAAAACAAAGAAAGUCAAACCCAAAACGGGUGGGUGGAGGGGCGCCAGGAGGGGGAAAAAAAAUGGACUGCGGCAGAGCCGAGGUACGUCAGGCGGGCGUCCAGAAAACUACCCCAGGGCAUGGCAGGGAGCCUCAGGCGGACGGCCUGGGGGGCAAGCAGAGGCAGAGUGAAGGCGGAACCCUUCAGGAGGCCGGCGGCAAGGACGAUGAGGGCUCAGUCCCUCAGGGGACCUGCAGUGGCACAGAACCCCCUCAGAAGGCCGGCAGCGGUGAAGGCGGAACCCUUCAGGAGGUCGGCGAAGGCGAGGUAGAGGGCGGGUCCCCUUAAGAGGAAGGCCAGGUAGAGGGCGGGUCCCCUCAGGAGGCAGGCCAGGUAGAGGGCGGGUCCCCUCAGGAGGCAGGCCAGGUAGAGGGCGGGUCCCCUCAGGAGGCAGGCCAGGUAGAGGGCGGGUCCCCUCAGGAGGCAGGCCAGGUAGAGGGCGGGUCCCCUCAGGAGGCAGGCCAGGUAGAGGGCGGGUCCCCUCUGGUGGACAGGGUAGAGGGCGGGUCCCCUCUUGUAGAAGGCCAGGCAGAGGGCGGGUCCCCUCUGGUAGAAGGCCAGGUAGAGGGCGGGUCCCCUCUGGUAGAAGGCCAGGCAGAGGGCGGGUCCCCUCUGGUAGAAGGCCAGGUAGGAACGGAGGGCGUGCCUCCUGGACGGUCUGGAGGGCGGACCCCCUCCGGCAGGAGCAGAGGCCAGUCCCCCUCUGGAAGGAGCAGGGGGCGGGCCCCCUCAGGCAGGAGCGGAGGCCGGUCCCCCUCUGGAAGGAGCAGGGGGCGGGCCCCCUCAGGCAGGAGCGGAGGGCGGACCACCUCAAGCAGGCGAAGAGGCCGGUCCCCCUCUGGAAGGCGAGGAGCGGGCUCAGGAACCGGACAGGGCUCGGGGACCGGAGUCAGUGCGGGAGCUGGAGUGCCAGGAGGAACCGGGUGGUACCCCAAACUCUCCCAGCGAUCUAUUGCCUUCAUAAUAAAUAAAUCCUCCCACUCACGGCUAACUUGAUCGUCCGCUGGGUCCAUUGUCUUAUUUAUUUUGGCUAUCAAAUCCUCCAACUUACGGUCAAAUUGCGCGUCCGCUGGGUCCCAUCGUGACGGUGCUGUCAUUCUGUUAAGGGGAGGCGCUGGAGGUGCAGGGAGGCAGGUAGGACCCAAACGCAGACGGUAUUGAGGGUAAACGGCACUUUAAUCAAACCUAAAGGCUAAGGCACAGGUAUCAGGGAACUCGGGAGACAACUCGGAACUCGGGAGACAACAGGGAACUCGAAAGGGAACAAGGAACACGGAACACGCAGGACUACAACCAACACUAACCACGGCAACCCACACACAAACCACAAUGACAGCACACCGAACAAAGGAAAGACGAGGGCUUAAAUAACAAACACAACGAGGAACAGCUGAGACACAUUAGGGGAGGGAACAGUAAUCAACACAGGAGGGAAAAAC